rnacentral:tRNA from 1 species
GGGGAGACAGCUCAAGUGGUAGAGUGCCUGCUUAGCAUGCGUGAGGUCCUGGGUUCAAUCCCCAGUACCUCCU